UGCAGUGAAAUUCCUCGUACGCUCACAGAGCAGCGUGGGAAUCUCUAAAACUGUCCCCCGCAGGUUUGCAAGCAGCCCCUGCAGGUUCACUUGAGCUUAAUUUCGCUAAUCACACGGGGACAGUUAUUUUCUGUUCUCGCUCAGCUCCCCGCACACACGCAGGCAGCACACACGCUCGGGCUGCACCUCUCCCGCUCCCUGGCACGAAGUCCAGAUCAGCUCUGACCAUCCCCGCGUGCGAGCGGAGAGCAGCGACGCAGCGCCCCGGCGCCUGCGACCUUAGGAGCUGCCACAGAGGUGGGGGCAGAGAUCGUCUUCAAGGUUGCUGUCAUCUGGAAUUUUAUGUCCUUCAUUUUCUUUCACUCUGUAUGCCUGUCACAUCGGCUUAACUUAUAACUGACAUACUGAUGGCUAAGGAAAGAAGACAACUAAGCUGGAAGAAUAAUAAACAGAGCGCUGUGAGAGAUGGAAGAGAAGAAAAACAUGGUGGGAAGAACUGAGGCAGUGAGGCUAAGUUGCAAAUGAGCAGACAAGUAAUAGCUUGGUGUUUCACCACAAUAUCAAAUGAACUUUCAGAACUUUUCAGAAGUCAAAUGCAUUUAAAAUAAUUAACGAGUUUGCUUUAAAAAGCAUAUGCAUCUUCUCUCUUGUCUGUUAAGCCAGAAUGAUACAAGGAGAGAUUGUGAAGAAAAUUAUAUCUACAGGCAUUGUUUUUUGUUAUUGUUGUUAAAAAUAUUUCCACAUUAAGUGGCAAAAGAAAAAGAAAGAAAAAAAUGUAUUCAUGUUCUUUGAGCCUAACAAUUUCUGUGAAUCUUAAGAUCACUCUUGAGGACCCAACUCUACAGAUCAUCAUCAAGAGGCAAAAAUAAUGAGUCAAAUGAGAGAAAGAUCUGCAGCUCUCUUUUGUAUAUAGUUGCUGUACAUAUACCAACAUGGAAGAAGCCUUCCACAGACUUCUGUCAUCACUCUGUGUGAAAAAGCUCUUUUAAAGGAACAGCUACCAAUAGGCAAGUGAGCCAGAAUACUUUUGUGCAGGAAUGUGCGUUUCUCACAUAGCUCAGGCUACCAAAAGGAAUACAAAUAUUUGCAGGAGUAGAAAAAGAUGCAGAAAGGACAGUGAAUCCUCUCACUGCUGAAACACCCUAAGUAGAAGCAGUGGAGACUCCAAGGAGAAGAAGAGUCUGGAGAAAUCAGCAACUUAAGAGUAACAGUGAAUGAGAAGAAGAGACUGGGAGAGGGAAGAAAAAGGCCUCUGGAUUUCCACCAGAAUUAAACUGGAGAAAUGGGAGCAGGAGGGGCACAGGAGAAGCAGGUUAAAGAGAUUUUGCUCCUAUCUUCGUCAGCAAAGAGGGAGUAGGAAACAAGACCCGGACAGCAUUUCUCCCAAGUCUGCUGCUCUAGGCAACUGUUUACUUUGCUUUUGCCCAAGAUAGCGUGAGACGUUAUAAAAUGAGUUUCCACAAUGCUCUGAGUCACCAGAAUAUGGAUGAGAUCUGUGGAUUCAAGCCACCUUUCAAGAUUAUGAAUCUCUUCUGAAUAUCCAUUAUGCCAAUGAUACAUAACAAAAUCACUGCUGUAAUGUGAUGCACAUGUCAACUUUAAGGAUACAGUCCCUGCUCAGAUGGCAUCAGCAUAGGGAAACGUCAGCAUGGUGGAUUACCAGAGCAAAUGCUUUAACAUGCAAUGUGAUGCAAUGUGUUUUAACAACAAUUGUUCCCUUAUGUUUGUUUGUGUCAGGUUUGACGUGACUAUCCGCCAGGACAAUGCUCAGGAUUCUGUGUGUUGCAUUGCAGAAACUGAUUAUGUGAUCAAAUGCUUAAAGCACAUAAAAUCACGCCCAAGAUUCGAUGAGAUAUAUAUGCCAGAAAAUUCAGUAGGUGCUUAAAGUAAUUGACGCUAACAGCUAGACCUGGGUUUUUCAAAGGAAUAAGCGUUUUUGUUUGUUUGUUUUUCCUAAUGCAAUAUAAUAUAAACUGCCUAGAAAUUCAGCCUUAGCAUAAUGUUCAGAUCAAAUGAAAUUCACCCGUUAAGAAAGAACAUACACAGGGUCCUCCCUGAAGUGGAAAAGACAGCCUCUGAGUAGAACAGAUACCCUGGGAGACUUCUUACCCUGUGCACAUGCCCAAAAAGACAGCUCUGAAUCUAACUGCAUUGUAGAUCUAAUGCUUGUAGGAUUUGGAGGCUCAACGCUGAGCUGUAGCUCUCAGCAGCCCUUUUUCCCCAGUCCGUGAAACUCAGAAUCCAGUGGAGACAAAAACCUCUAUAGAAAUACUGUAUAUGUAAAUGGACUUAGAAGAAAAAGGGAGGGGUACCUGCUCUUAAAUUAGUCAUAUUUAAAAUGUAUUCUCAGAACACACUGAACUAUCAAACAGUCCCCAAAGUGAAGAAAUGUGAUUCUCAUUCAAGACUUAAGAGCAAAAGGCAAAACAACUGUGUCCCUUGCUCCAAAGUCAUUAUCUCACAUUAAGACUUCAUCCUGUUCUCCCAGUUCAGAAUUUAGUCUGGUUCUAAUGGCUCACUAGACAGUUUUGCAAGAUCUUCAUGCUCUCAUAGGUAUUUAGGCACUGAAAUCAGUGAGAAGUGGUACCUGUACACUUUCAGAAAUCUGUCUUUAAUUUCAACAUCCCAUAAAUUUUUUUAACAAAAACAUCCUUCAUCUUUUCUGCUUCACAAGUGAGUUGUGAAGCUUAAUUACACAAUGAUUAUGAAGUCCAGCAAAUACAACAUAUAUUAAGAGUAGUUAAUGAGAUUUCUGUCACAAGCAGACUCCCUCUUGUAAAAUAUUACUCACAUGUUGCAGGAAAAAAAACUCAAGAGAAAAAAAUACAGAUGCAUUAAAUAUAAAACAAAUCUAGCUUGAUUACUUCCACAAAUAAUAUGUUAUACAACUCUAAAACAUCUGUCAGGACAGCAUAGAGAAUAGCAUAGGCUUUUCUGACCAGAAUGGAAUCCUGUCAGCACGGAAUUCUGUCAGCACAUCCAUGUACUCAUUUUUACCUGCAGUGCCCAUCCAAGACAGGGCCUCCAGACCCACACACGAUCUGCUUCCCAUGAGAUCUAGUGGCUUAAAUACCUUCAAAGACCAGACAUGAAGUUCUGUUCCUUCAAAUCACAGAAUCAUGGAAUCAUAAAAUGGCUUGGGUUGGAAGGGACACCCAAGGAUCAUCAAGUUCCAAUCCCUCUGCUGCAGGCAGGGCCACCAACCUGUGGUGGUUGUAAAUAUUUCCCAAAAAGAUGCCAGCAUACUAACCAAUUACCACAUUUAACAGCACAGUGGAAGAUGGCUAGACAACUAUGAGCAGACAGACGAUCGUACAGAAGGCAUUGCUUGCAUACUUAGUGAUUUCUCAGGCCAUAACAAAGCAUACAGCCUAACUAGGGUAGGAGGACUCAAAAGAGGAAGACCAUUCCUUAAUAAUACAGAGCUCUUUGGCACAUUUCUUUUCUGUGAACAAACAGUGUAGCUGUUAAAAUACAUUUCCUGUUAGCAAUUAUGGCUCAGAGCUCACAGACGCUUUUACAGAACUUGGACAGGAGUGAUUUUCAGUACAUAGUGUCUCUAACAGCAAGUUAUAUUAAUAUUCACCAAAGGAAAACCUGUUUGUUGACCCAAAGUGUGACUGCUUACAAUUCUCUUCUUGUGAAAUUAUUUAGGUCCUGUGGGACAACUGUACUGAGCUUUUGACGCAAAUAUUAAAAUUCUAUUUAAAUGUACAAUGUUUUAAUGCAAAUUUUUACCAUAAAACCAAAUGCUCCAUUCAGUUAAAUUAAUAGAAUUACAAAAAGAUGUAAUGAUAGCAAUUAAGUCUUGAAAAUGCAAAUUUUAUAGUCAAGGACAAUUACCUCAUUUAUAGUAUCCUGGAAUGAUGCCAGAUGAAGGUAAUUUAGAUCUCCCUAGCUCACAGUUAUAUCAUGAAGGAUAUCUUAAUUUCAUUAGUACAACAAAGAUGGGUGAGAACUUGGACAAUAUGAAAAAAAAAAGGGAGGGAGAGAUGGGAGAGAAAAUUUGACCUUUCUCAUUUCACCGCAACUAGAAUACAUAGAUCUUACUAAAGGAUUAGUAAUAUUUCUUUCUAUUCCUAUCUCUGGGGAAAAAAAGGGGGGGGGGGGGGCACUUUUUUCUUUUCUUUUUUUUUAUUAGCAGCAAUGGAACAUUAGUAUGAAAAAGGUCAACUCCCUUCAGAUUCUUAGAGCCACUAUGCCCACAUCACAACAGUUAUGGACCAUUCCUUAUUUCAGUUUUAAGGAUGAAUACAGCAUUGGCUCUUGGCUGACAGAGUAUCAAGCUAUGGCCUAGGGACACAUGGUUUUGACUCCAAUAUGAUUUAAAAUGUUCUAGAAAAAUUCUUCUUGCUCUUACAAAUACAGCCCCACUUCAUCCAAAGAGGCAAGUCAAAAAUCAUCAGUUUCUCAUUAGCAAGCAAAGAGUGAUCAAGUAGACAAAGAAUACAGAUUGAUAUGCCAUAGAUUCAGUAGUCUCCUUUGAAGGAAAAACAAAACCAAACUCUCAUACAAGUUCUUUAGCACAUUAUCAAGUUCAAAUAGGAGUUUGCAAUACUGCAGAUAUCCCUCUUCCUUUCCUUUCUCUUUGCUGUAGUAGCUACCCUUGACCCUUGAAGAGAUUUCAAAAAAAAAGCAUAUUAAAUAAGGUGCACCAUAAAGUUUAAUUUUAAAACUUUACAACUCUCAAUUUUUCUUCCUGGCCUGUUGUAGCCACUGCAAAGAAACUCAACUUCCAGAAAAAUAGCUGCAUCCACCUAAAAUCUUCUUACAUCAAAUUCCCUUACCAAACCUAACAUGUAGGCUCUGGAGAGAGCGGAAACCUCCAAGGACAGAGUAGCAAACUUCACCUCUCUCCUUAUCUUGAACACAACUAACAAAGAUAACAUGAAAAAGCCUUCCCAAGAGUAGAAAUAUCUGCUUACCGUCAGCAUUUGGUGGUUUUGCUGUAGAUGGUGCAUGCUGAAGCCAUCCCAACCUCCUGCUGACAAACCUUUCCUUAACACCCUGAGAUAGGCAGGUUCUAGAGGAUCGGCUUUAUAACUUCGAACAGCACCACAUAGCGACAGGAAUGCAGCAUUACAAACCCCCAACACUCCUCAGAAAGGGUUUCUUCCAUCCAGUUAUUCUGUUUUAUGAAAAACAAGCCUUUUCUGAAGGAAAAAGUACCUUAAUUUUUCAUGUCAACGAUGCUAUCAGUCACCUCUGCCGCUUGAAAACAAUGGAUGACACUCUGGCUCAAGGAAAGCCACCUGCUUCCUUUGGGGUUAAGACAUCUUUUGGUGAAUUUCAUCUCCUAUCAAGCAAUAGCAAAAUUAGAGCUUGUACCACUAUUGCCUUCGUUCCGUGCUUUUGAUGCUUAUAAUCCCAUUACACCUGACAACUUAACCUGAGCUUGUUAUUCAUAGACAUGUAUGGUCUGAUGAAACAUUCCCAACUCCUGAAAAAUCUUUUUGUGUGUUGUUGGGAGAUUUGGCCUAAUAAGAAGUGCUUGAGUGGGUGUAGACUGGGUAUGUUUGUACCAUAUUAUACAAUAUGGCUUAAAUUUCCAUGGCAUUUUAUUGGAAAGUGUGAACCUGACAAGCUAAUAGUUUGUGAAUCUGUUGAGUCUCUGCUGUUGCAUGGAGAAACGUUUUGUCUAGGCUAUUCCCAGUAUGCUUCAAUUGUAAAAAAAACAGGCUGCGAUCAUAACACAUCUUCAUGUAAAUCAAAGUAAAUUUCUGCAGGACAAUAUUUACCACUGUUAUGUACCGCAGAUCUCCCAAUUCCUCAUUUGACCUAACAGUCGGAAUGAUCUCAGGCCAGCAAUAAGCUGAAUACUGGUUGCUAAGUAAUAUUUAAUUUAAGCAUGAUGUUGUGGUCAACAAAAUGAAUUAGCAUUUUCUGCAUUAAUGAAGAUCCAGGCCUAAAAUCAAAUGAUGAUGUCAAAAAAUUAUGGAAAGUAUUAUUGAUCUAAUUCUUCCUUUUAUUACACUGACAGAGAAACAUGCUUCUUGGAAAUGUUACAUGUGAAGGAAGAAUUUUUCCUAUUGCAUCUUCUUUCAAGAGAUUCAGUUUUCUACUCAGAACUCCAAGAGAGUAAUUUACAUUUGUGAUCACCCAGCCAAUUCAAGGCAACUGUGGAAAGAAACACUAGUAAGAAUUCAUUUUGUUGAUCUUAUCAUAAAUGUGAGAGAGAUUUAGCUUUAUCCUAAAUUCCACUAAAUCCUAGAAUGCAAUAAAGAAAUAAUCAUACAUGAAUUUGAGUCAGUACUGUUCCUCGUCAUUAUGCCACCUGACAAGCUAGAAAGCAACUUCGCUAGUGCAUAUUCAUUCCAAAUUAAUACAGUAAUUCUGAAAACUGUUUCUUUUUUCCCCUACUUUUAUGCAUUUAUUGCUUUAUUUCUCUAUUGCUAUUUCCAGUCCAUAAUGCAAUGCAGCUUGUGGAAUGUAAUCCCCUUUCUUCUCCUGACCAAACUCCACUCUGAAUGCUGCAUGGAUGGGAUCCUUUCUUUUCUGUUUUUUUAAUGUUUUUCUUCUCACUUUACAUAUUCUCAAAAAUGAGAUGAAUUUCUGAUUAUUUUCCAUUUUCCCCACUUUAUGAAUAUUAGAGUGGUUUUCUUUUGCAAUGUGGCUUGGCCUGCAUUUCAAAGUCCACAUUUUGAGUGGUUCCCUGUGAUUUUUGGACACUUGGCAUUUUCUGGGUCCAACUCAGAGAACUGUUUGAUUUUCAAAUAUUCAGAGCAUUCUCAAAGCCUGUUAAGUACAGACAAUACUUUCAGUGUUCUUUAGGUCCUUUAGGCUUAUUUUUUCAUUAACCCAAAACUGAGGUAAAAAAAAUCCUGUGUUCUAUGAAUUCCACAGUGUUGUGCAGAGAAGGGCAGUGGGAAAACUGAGUUAAAUGCAGGAUUCAAGUUUUUCUGACUCUUGCACAACUUGUUGUCUAAUGGACCCCAUAGGCUCUCAGCAACACCAGCUGUCUCUAAAAUUCAACCAACAGUGGAAAUGACUACUGCUGUUCUGUCCAUGGAAAGCAUGAAAAGGUUAUUAAAAAAAAAAAAAAAAAGAAUGGCUUGCUUAGAUAUCACACAAAUGUAUUUGCUUUUUUUUUACUUAGUGAAAAGGCUGUAUUAUAAAAGUAAACUUUUCAAAACAGAAAAAGUAGGUAUCAAAUACAGGAAAGAAACAAAAAGACUAUAAAGUAAUCUUUACAAAAGCAGAUUGCACUGACACUGUCUUGCUCACAGUAACACACAAAGUAAUUUCAUAAAACCCAGCUUUUAUCUUGUUCUAAUAAAACAUCAAGCUAGCAACAUUAUGGUGAGGGCUUUCAUUUUCUUUUCGAUAUAGAUUCUGAUUGGAAGUAUUAGCUGAUGCAGCAGGAUAAAUAAAGAAAUGCCUAGAUUGUUAUGGUUCCCAAAGGUCAUUUUUAUGAAAAGAUCAGGAAAUAUGUUUCAUUGAAAUUAAAAGUAAAGCCAUAUCAAGUUUAAUAACAUUGUUACCAUAAUGACAUAAAAUUCAGUGAGAUGGUGUAAUGUUUAAUAUUUGACUGUCAAGCCUCUGCAGUGAAGCUGUGUGAAAGCAUUUAAACUUCUAAAACUGAAUUUCCUUUCAGUUUUAUUGCUGUUUUAUACCCAUCUCCUUUUUUUCCUUGCCGUAAUAUUCUGUGUUUCUUUGUUGAAUUUGAUGUUAUCAGUAAAAUACAAUAAAAACUCAUGGAGGGCCACAUCUCUGUUCCAUAGAAGACUUAGCAAGGCAUCCCCAGAUGACCAAAGGCUGUCUGUGCCAAAUCAUUUUUUCCAUCAAGUAAGAACCCCAGCAGUGUUGUAGGGCAUGGCAAGAGGGAUGCUGUCAGGGCACAGCUACCCUCUGGGUUUUCUCAGUUGUGGCACUGUCAGAGGUGGAUUAAUAUGAGAAGCUGUAUCAGCCCUCAGCGAUUCUGGGAAAGGUCUGGCAUAAUGCCACUGUUCCCGGGUCUGCAUUCACAUAAACAAUUGUAAAGACGACUGAAGCCAGCAACUGCGAAGCCCGAGUGGUCUCUGGCUUUGUACAGCCUUUUGUUGGACACUGUGCUGAGUGCUAGGAUCAGAGAAUUGAAAAGUUUACAGCUUGGCACAGCUCUGCAAAAUUCUGAUUUUCAGAUAAAUAAACAAAACCCUGUCUCCAUCCCUGGGACCAAAAUUAUUCAAUACACUAAACAACAAGUAACAUUCUGGAAACAAAUUCUUUCUUUAAAAUGCAAGCUUGGUUUAGCACAUUUUCCCAGGAUGAAUUUCACCAGUUUAGCUUAAGAGUUGUUCAGUCUCAUCAGUGUAAAAAACAAGUAGCUGUGAACAUUCCUGAAACACUUACUUGGAGAUUCUCAUAAAGGAAAGAUCUGAGUGCCCGAGCCACCAGAGUCCAUACAACCACAGAACUGCUUGAGUUGGAAGGGACCCUUAAAGUCCAUCUUGUCCAACCCCCCUGCAAUGAACAGGGACACCUACAGCCAGAUCAGGUUGCUCCCCUUUAGAUACUGAAAGGCUACUAUCAGGUCUUCCUGGAUAUUUCUCUUCUGCAGGCUGAACAGCCCUGGCUGUAAUACAGCUAAAUAUUCUGAUGGUUUUACUUCAUAGUUUUCCAUCAGCUUUGGUUGCUGACAGACGAUGCAAAGAUUGAGGAUUUAAGCUUGCUGUAUUUGUUCUCUUUGUCUUUUUGCCAGACUGGCUGUGAUGAGCAGGUACUGGAUAUGCAGUUUGGUCUGUUGCAGCUGUUCUAGUACAUAAUCUGAUUCAAAAACAGGGAAUAUUUGGAGGCUCUUAUUGGUAAAUACUGCUACUAUGGAUUUUAUAAGUACUGCAGAUGUGCCCUUGCCACCUUUGAUCUAGUAACAUGGUGCUUCUUACUAUGUGGACAAAUAGCUCUGAAUGUACAACUCAAAGAUUUGCCACUCUCCAUAAACAAGCUUCACUUUCUGCCAUUUGUGCCUGAGGUUAUUAUUUGAGCUGUGUGGAUCAUUCCUUACGAAAAUUAGAACUGUGAGCUAUUUAGCUGGACUUAUCUUUUCUAUAAAGGUGAAACUAAAUAGGUCUGACACAAAAUAGCUGUGGAAGGAGAGAUUCUGAUUCUCCUUGGAGCUUGUUUUAUACAAAGACCAUCUUAAAUUGCAUGUUUGCUAAUUCCUUUCUCUUAAAGACCUCAAGGAAGGCAGAAAGUAUGAUACAUCUACAUGAGUUGUACCCAGCUCUAGGCUGAUAGAGACUUUAGGCAGUAUUAAAACUGCCAUCGAUUCCAAAUCCCUAUCUUUGGGUCACAAUAAGACCAAUGAAGGUCUGCACAUGGGCCUUAACACACCUAUGUUGCUGCUAUCUUGUCUCCUGAAGCAUGACAUCCUUCUUAUAGAUUCACUGAAUCACCAUGUAAACUUGUCUAAUAAAAGUGGAAAUAAGAGUUUAUUUCUGCACUUCAGUUUUUCUUUGCAUUUUCUGGAAGCAGUGCAAUAUAAUUCAGAUGCAGUGUGAGAAAGGCACUGUGAAAUCAUGAAUAAAGGACUCCAGUAUUCCUUUAUGAAAAAUCUUUUAACAUAAUAAAUUAAUAAUUAUUACUUCUACGGGGUUUUAUUUUGUUGGUGGUGGUGUUGUUUGGUUCUUUUGAAGAAUCCUGUAAACCCUAACAGGAAAUUACAUGUCCGGUGCAAAAGUGUAUGAGAAGAGUCAAGAAAUCUAUGUCAUGGCUGUCAUUCUUCUUUCAAGACUAUUAACCUGAAAUCCUGGCUUCACUGCAUCUUAGCACUAAUUUCAGCAAAAAGUCAGACGUUCACUCCAUCAUGCUUUAGAAGCAACUGUCACUGUGUUAAAUUCUGCUCCUUCUUUCCCAUUCUCUUUUCCUGCUUGUCAGGUAAGUGUCCAUAAAUGUCAUGAGGCCAAAAUAAACUGGCGUGUGGAAAGGGAGAUGACUAGGAACAAGAAGGCAGAAUUCUUUGGUAAGACCAGGUAGAAGUAGAUAGGACAAAGGGUUUGAUGAAAAGGUUGAUGAAGGUUUGGAGAUUGAUGAGGAUUCUACAUCUCAAGCCAAAAUGCAGGGGUUAAAGUAUUGCAGAAUUAUUUGGUCUUCAGUGAGAAAAAUGGUUCUGCUAAGUAGUUAUACAAAUGUACUAUUUAGUCAUUCACCACAAGAAAGUGUCAGGUUUUACUGUUACAGAGCAAAGAGGGACUACAGAGGAACAUACUGCUUUCCUUAGCCUUGCUCUCCUUCUGGAUGCAAUGUUUUGUGUUACAACAUCUUGAAAACUUUUCAGUCAGAGAAAGGAGCAGCCCUGCAGCAAUGAAAGAGCAGGUGAUGGACUAAUAAUAGGAUCUCUUGUUUAUUUCCUCUUCCUUUAUUGAUGAUCAGCCUGUGGUGUGUUGAGCUGGAAGGCAGAAAAAAAAAAAGGCCAGGUCUCACAUUAGCAAGGAGUCCUCCAGCUGUUAAAGGUAAAAGUCAUCCUGGGUGAGGUCAGUCUCUCACAGUGACUCAAACGGACAGUCUUGCUUGUGUCAGCAGAAGCUCAGCUACCAUCACAGCUGCACAAACGUGGGCACUGCUUCUUCAACUAACUGCCUGGAGAUUAGACAGGUUGCUGCACGUAGGGAAGGCAGAAAGAACUCUGGUAGGAUGAACACAGGUUGGAGUGUCGGAGUGAACACUGUGAGCCCUUCCUGUUCAAGGUUACAAGAGAAGGAGGGGCCACAUUCUGAACGUGGCAGGGCUAGGCAUGUAUGGAAAAGCCUGGGAAGCAGCAAGUCUUUUUUCCUAGUUCAAAGGCCUAACCAAGCUGUUCUAGGCACCAUGAGCAUGAGCUGGGAGAGCCCAACAAGUCACUGCCAGUGCUCUGCUGCCUGGCACCAAGGCUGCUUUUUGCUUUCAGAUGCUCUGUUGUUUCUCGUUUUUAUAACACCAGUCCUUGCCAGGUGCUCCUGGGGUCUAUUUUAAGGCAAAUAAAAAUGUUUUGUCUUUCAAAAUAUCUGUGAGAUCUCUGGGGAAAACGUACUGAAAUUUUGGUUUCCAGAAACUCUCACAGAAAGUCUGAAAAUUCAAAACACUGAGAGAAAUUUGGGUUUUGAAUCCUUGAAAGCAUGCAAUCUUACAGUGGUCCUAGCAAUUAAAGCACUGGCAGCUGAUUUCCCAUAGAAUCAGAAGCGCCAGAUAUCAUGCCAGAGGUUCAUUUACUGAGCUGAUCCACUGUGGGCAGAAGCUCAAUGUUCCUGCAAUGGUCCUUAGGGCAAAACAAUUCCCUCAAAAAAGAGAAGAUGAUUCAGAAUUAUUUCACCGAAAACACACCUGGUAUUUUCUGGGUCUACUCUAGCAAGGAAACAAAUCUACAAUAAAACAAGCAUAAAACAAUGGAUAAGACACUGCUGAAUGUUUGGUCCCGUGGACAAGACAGGAGAUAAUGCAGAUCGUUGAUACUGAAUAAACAUCAAACUGUAAGCUGCACUCACUUGCCAUGUUCUGUUUUCUUGAUUAAAUCGAGUUGUUUUUGUUGAGAGGAAGAUAUAGCAAGCUGACAGCCAUACCGCCCUACCUUGCACACAACUCUACAGUAUAGAACUUAGUGUGUUUACAGUCAAUGUUCGCUAAAUCUGAGUUGCCAGGUGAAAUCAUUGCAUUUGCCUGUUUCCUUGUCUAAUGAAAAAAAUGCUUGUGAUAGCACUUGAGGUCACAACAGCACUUGGCUAAUGCAGUGAUGAUUUAAAAAACAAACAAACCAAAAAAAAAAACAACCAUAAUUUUUUUCUGGAUUUGUUACAUGUGGGAUUUAAAGGCAGUUGCUGUACAGUGCCUGGAAACCUGAUUCACCUGAGUCACAAUUCAUCCAAUACAUCACGAUAACAACAUGUCUGAGGGAUGGGAGGCCAUCCAGAGAGAUCUAGACAGGCUUGAGCAGUGGGUCCAGGUGAACCUCAUAAGGUUCGACAAAUCCAAAUGCAUGGUCCGGCACCUGGAUCAUGGCAAUCCCCACUAUAAAUACAAGCUGAGGUACUAGAAGAUAGAGCACGGCCCUGUUGAGAAAGACUUGGGGGUACUGGUGGAUGGCAAGCUGGACAUGAGCCAGCAAUGUGCCUUCUCAGCCGAGAAAGCCAGCUGUAUCCUGGGCUGCAUCAAAAGAAGCAUAGCCAGCAGGUCAAGGGACAUGAUCCUUUCCACCUCUAAGACCUCACCUGGAGCACUCCAUAAAGAUGUGGAAUUCUCAGUACAGGAGAGUCAUGGACCUGUUGGAGCGCAUCCAGAGGAGGGCCACAAAAAUGAUCCAAGGGGUGGAACACCUCCCCUGUGAGCACAGGCUGAGAGAGCUGAGGCUGUUCAGCCUGGAGAAGAGAAGGCUCUGGGGAGACUUCAUAGUGGCCUUUCAGUAUCUAAAGUGGGAGUGUAAGAAGGAAAGGGACAGACUCCUUAGCAGAAUCUGUUGUGACAGGACAAGGGGAAAUGGUUCCAAACCAAUAGAGGGGAGAUUUAGACUGGAUAUAGGGAAGAAGCUAUUUACUGUAAGGAUGGCAUGGAUGUCCUGUCCCUGGAAACACUCAAGGUCAGGCUGAAGCAAUCUGAUGUAGCUGCAGAUAUCCCUGUUUAUUGCAGGGGAGUUGAACUACGUGAGCAUUAAGGGUCUCUUCCAACUCAGAUUAUUCCUUGAUAAUUUAUCAAGGAAGUCUGAGGGCUUGGACAGGGUGUUGAUGAGACACUGAAGUAUGUGGACACCAUUACUUACUAUAUUAUGUCCUCAAGGAGUGGUGUGGAGGGAAUGGCUGCCCUUACCCCAUGGUACAGGUGCUUUUUAUCUGCAUCUCCCAGGAUCCAAAGAGAAGCCCCACUCCUUGAUCACUGAAGAUCAAAUUGAGCUAUUUACCUUCUCAAGUGUUAACAUGCAUUGGUGGCAUAUGCUUCCAAGGCUUUCUUUUGCUUGGUUUUGUUGUAUACAUGUGGAUAAUGCCAGAUAAGAUUUUGGCGCUAAGAAGGUUUCACUGAGUGCUUCUCUUUUCACCUCAUUUUGGUCUCUCCUUCUUUAAUGACCAGUGAAUUACAGUCAAUUAAAGGUGACUGAUAGGAACUGCAGGGAAUACACUCAUAAAGAAUUAUGAAAAAUAGCCAUGUACCUUGUGACCAGCGUAUACAAAUUACAUCAUAAGCAGGAAGUAGUUAUGGUUGAUUGGAGCAAUUAAAUGUUUUCUUUAAGAAAGGAAAAAAACCCUCCAGUGAGAAUAUUUUAGAAAAUGGCUUUUUAAUCAUCUGUAGAACUGCUAGAAUGUCUGUCUUCUAAUAGUUUUAAAGUGUUCCUUAUUUAGAAUUAACUGUAAUUCUACAGAAUAGCCAAAUACUUCCCCAGGAACCUGCUUACAUGAAAGUUUAUUUUUAAUCACAAGAUCACAUCCAAAAAAAUUUACAUAGGCCAAAGGAGACCAGAGAAGAUCUGAGCACCUGUCCCCGGUGUGUAAACAGCUACAAAUUUGGGAGCCAUUGCACAGGAGAGAACACUUUCUACAAUGAUUCAGGAAGACAUGCACACAGCAAGAUUCACCACUCAAAUAAGAAGCAUUAACGCUGACAGAAAAAUCAGGUGUUUCCAGCAGCAUCAGAUGCAUACUAACCAGCAUCCUGCCACAUUAAUCAACCAGCUAAUGCCUUCAGACUUGGCUGGUUCAUCAUCUAUCCUCAUCCCUGUAGACACCACUAGUUCCGCAUGGGCAAGGACACAUUUUGGGAGGGGAAGGACCAUGGCAGCAUGCUGUGGAAGAGCAGUCUCUGCCUAGCAGUGUGGUGAGCUGCAUAUGAGCCACAUGGGCAGAUGACAAGGGACAGCUUGGUGGUGCCCGUGCAAGCCAAUGGGGGAGCUUCUGCGCGUAACAUGCCUCAGCAGUCCACUUUUGCCUGCCCGUGGAUGGGAAUGCUGCUGGUCUGCACAGCCUGGGCAUAGGCAGCGGGGGCAGUGCUGGCAGUGCGUACCAGCACCCAGCACACCAGAUGAGAGCAUGCGAAUUGGAAACUGGCUAUUAUAGACAAUAGCCCUAAAAAUCAUCCUCUUGGUACAGAGAGAACACAUGCCUGAUACUCUACCAAUUGCCUAGCUUAACACUGAGGAUACAGCUCAGGAUGUCAUAUAUGUUCACACCUUCUUUCAAGGAGACUCAUGAUGCUGGAAAAGGGUGAAAAGGCUGUAAACAGUGUUCUUUGGUCAAAGAAACCCAGAACAUGUUUCAUAUAAUAAGGUUAUUUUUACUAUUUUUUAAUCUCAGCAGAAAAUUCAUUAUAUUCCUCCUUUUUCUCUCAGCUUCGACUGUGUAUCCCCUUUGUGCUUGCAAAACAAAGGUUAUUUUUUACUCACCUGUAUAAAAUGCUUGAAGAACUCCAGAUGAUUAAAGAUAUAAAAGUCAAAGGAAAUAUGUAUAUAUGCAUGUUUAUAUAUAAUUGUUGUUACUGUUGCAGUCUGCGAGAAAAACAAAAAUUAUUCCUAGCAGAGCGUCAGGUUUUUAUUUAUUUAUUUUUUUAUGACUUUGGAAGCUUUUUAAUAGCUAGUGAUCAGAUGAAACAACUGCUCUUGAAAUCAAUGAGAACUGGAUUACGUGCUGGAGAAGAGAAAGCUUCAGGAGAAAAUGUUUACAUUACUGUUAUCUUAGAUAAUCACCAUUUCUGCCUAUGUCUUCCAGAAAAACUCAUUUUGUUUCUCUGAAAAAUAUGUAAUGAUUUCAAGAUCAUUUCAGAGGCCAAACACGCUAGAAAUUCAAAUCCAUGAUCUAAAUGCUUACAAAAAGUGUCUCAGAUCAGUAAAAACAAGCUGAAGAGAAUGAGAAGAUACUCUUUGAUUAUCUAACCUCCUUGACUGCAGUACGUUUAUUCUGUUUUCUUCUUACCGUUUUCUUCUUCUUGAGGAUUUGAAAUUACUUCUCUUUGAAUGUAGAGGAUAUAAAUUAAUCAAUAAAGUCAAUAGUAGCCCUUAUAAACAUAGCUUAAAUAUAUAUCUGUGUGUCCUACGCUACAAAAGAUAGCAGCAACUGAAGCAAUUUCCCCCAU
ensembl:lncRNA